AUGCCCCUUAUCGACCUUUUAGUGCACUAUGAACAAACGGGUUUCAUCCGGGGUCGUGGUAUUGCGGAAAACUUUCUCCAUGCAACAGAUAUUGUUCGGACUUGCUUUAAGCGGCUACUUCCGGCAAUUGUCAUCAAGCUAGACUUCCAUAAAGCCUUCGACUCGGUGUCUUUAACGGCCCUAGCCUCUAUCUUAUGUGCCAAGGGUUUCCCCCCGGCUUGGCGCCGGUGGGAGGACCACCUAAAUUCUUCUGCCAGCUCCGCUGUUCUUCUAAGUGGGAAGCCAGGCCCUUGGUUUCAGUGCCGUCAGGGCCUGCGACAAGGUGACCCCUACUCCUCCUAUAUUUUCAUUCUUGUCGCCGAUGUCCUCAAGCGCCUUGUCAUCCAGGCUUCCACCAAUGGCAUCUUAUCCCACCCAAUCGCGUCCGACAUUCCUUGCACCGUUCUACAAUAUGCGAAAUGA
rnacentral:rRNA from 1 species